ensembl:snRNA U6 U6 spliceosomal RNA
GUCCUCACCUUGGCAGCAUGCAUACUAAAGGUGGAAGAACACACAGAAGAUCAGCAUAGUCCUUGUGUGAGGAUGACACAAAAACUCAUGAAGCAUUGCAUAUUUCU